rnacentral:rRNA from 1 species
AGCGAACGCUGGCGGCAGGCCUAACACAUGCAAGUCGAACGGAUCCUUCGGGAUUAGUGGCGGACGGGUGAGUAACACGUGGGAACGUGCCCUUUGGUUCGGAACAACUCAGGGAAACUUGAGCUAAUACCGGAUGUGCCCUUCGGGGAAAGGAUUUAUCGCCAUUGGAGCGGCCCGCCGUCUGAUUAGCUAGUUGGUGGGGUAAAGGGCCCACCAAGGCGACGAUCAGUAGCUGGUCUGAGAGGAUGAUCAGCCACAUUGGGACUGAGACACGGCCCAAACUACCUACGGGAGGCAGCAGUGGGGAAGUCUUGCGCAAUGGGCGGAAAGCCUGACGCAGCCAUGCCGCGUGAAUGAUGAAGGUCUUAGGAUUGUAAAAUUCUUUCACCGGGGACGAUAAUGACGGUACCCGGAGAAGAAGCCCCGGCUAACUUCGUGCCAGCAGCCGCCGCGGUAAG